rnacentral:tRNA from 2 species
GGGCGCUUAGCUCAGCUGGCUAGAGCACUUCGUUUACACCGAAGGGGUCGGGGGUUCGAGUCCCUCAGCGCCCACCA